UGAGUAACCUGCCCUUAACUCUGGGAUAAGCCUGGGAAACUGGGUCUAAUACCGGAUAUGACUCCUCAUCGCAUGGUGGGGGGUGGAAAGCUUUAUUGUGGUUUUGGAUGGACUCGCGGCCUAUCAGCUUGUUGGUGAGGUAAUGGCUCACCAAGGCGACGACGGGUAGCCGGCCUGAGAGGGCGACCGGCCACACUGGGACUGAGACACGGCCCAGACUCCUACGGGAGGCAG
rnacentral:rRNA from 1 species